rnacentral:rRNA from 1 species
UACGUAGGGUGCGAGCGUUGUCCGGAAUUAUUGGGCGUAAAGAGCUCGUAGGCGGCUUGUCGCGUCGGAUGUGAAAGCCCGGGGCUUAACUCCGGGUCUGCAUUCGAUACGGGCAGGCUAGAGUUCGGUAGGGGAGAUCGGAAUUCCUGGUGUAGCGGUGAAAUGCGCAGAUAUCGGGAGGAACACCGGUGGCGAAGGCGGCUCACUGGCUCAUUUCUGACGCUCAGGCGCGACAGCGUGGGGAUCAAACAGG